AUAAUCGGGGUGGCCGGGGCUGAAGUGAGCGGAGCAGGAGCCCUGGGGAGCGUGGUCCCUGCCCUUCCGCGCCUCGAACCAUCGCUACCGCCCUUCGGAACCGGUGCAGCAGCCGAUCAGUAAACACAGAGACUGGGGUCUGUAGAGAAGGGGCGGGGCUUGAAGGAGGUGGGGCUCAGGAGAGGUCUUGGGGGCGGGGCCGGUGGUAUCGGGGAGCCUCUGAUGGAGGGGCCUGGCCGGGGGCGGGAUCCAGAAGGAUUGAGGGGUCGCCGGAGGCGGGAUUUAUGCAGGGGGUGUUUCUCCGCGUAAGGAGGGACAGUGGGCAGGAAUCUGGGAUCGAGCGAAUAUGAGAGGUGUCUGGGGGAGUUAAGAGUGGAAACUGGGCUGGUGAGAGCGUAGUGGUGGCCACCAGAACCUGACUUCCUACCAACUCAGGCCCCUUUCCCAGGAUCGAUCAUGGGGCUUUGUAAGUGCCCCAAGAGAAAGGUGACCAACCUGUUCUGCUUCGAACAUCGGGUCAACGUCUGCGAGCACUGCCUGGUAGCCAAUCACGCCAAGUGCAUCGUCCAGUCCUACCUGCAAUGGCUCCAAGAUAGCGACUACAACCCCAAUUGCCGCCUGUGCAACAUACCCCUGGCCAGCCGAGAGACGACCCGCCUUGUCUGCUAUGGUGAGGCCUUGGCAUCUCGGGGGGAUCAGGCCAGCCUCAGGGGCCAGCUUGGUGACUGAUUUCCAGGCCCUCCUCAAGCAGCAGGACAAUCUCUUUCACUGGGCCUGCCUCAA
rnacentral:sRNA from 1 species